rnacentral:rRNA from 1 species
CCUACGGGAGGCUGCAGUGGGGAAUUUUGGACAAUGGGGGCAACCCUGAUCCAGCCAUGCCGCGUGUAUGAAGAAGGCCUUCGGGUUGUAAAGUACUUUUGUUCGGGAAGAAAAGGGGACGGUUAAUACCCGUUUCUGCUGACGGUACCGAAAGAAUAAGCACCGGCUAACUACGUGCCAGCAGCCGCGGUAAUACGUAGGGUGCGAGCGUUAAUCGGAAUUACUGGGCGUAAAGCGAGCGCAGACGGUUAUUUAAGCAGGAUGUGAAAUCCCCGGGCUUAACCUGGGAACUGCGUUCUGAACUGGAUGGCUAGAGUGUGUCAGAGGGGGGUAGAAUUCCACGUGUAGCAGUGAAAUGCGUAGAGAUGUGGAGGAAUACCGAUGGCGAAGGCAGCCCCCUGGGAUAACACUGACGUUCAUGCUCGAAAGCGUGGGUAGCAAACAGGAUUAGAUACCCUGGUAGUC